rnacentral:miRNA from 1 species
GCCGGUGUUUGGGCUCAACCUCCUGUGCCUACUGAGCUGAAAACAGUCGGAUAUCAGACACUGGCUCAGUUCAGCAGGAACCGGAGUUAGGCCUUCUAGAGACAGCA